AGCGAACGCUGGCGGCAGGCCUAACACAUGCAAGUCGAACGGACCCCUCGGGGUUAGUGGCGGACGGGUGAGUAACACGUGGGAACGUGCCUUUAGGUUCGGAAUAGCUCCUGGAAACGGGUGGUAAUGCCGAAUGUGCCCUUCGGGGGAAAGAUUUAUCGCCUUUAGAGCGGCCCGCGUCUGAUUAGCUAGUUGGUGAGGUAAUGGCUCACCAAGGCGACGAUCAGUAGCUGGUCUGAGAGGAUGACCAGCCACAUUGGGACUGAGACACGGCCCAAACUCCUACGGGAGGCAGCAGUGGGGAAUCUUGCGCAAUGGGCGAAAGCCUGACGCAGCCAUGCCGCGUGAAUGAUGAAGGUCUUAGGAUUGUAAAAUUCUUUCACCGGGGACGAUAAUGACGGUACCCGGAGAAGAAGCCCCGGCUAACUUCGUGCCAGCAGCCGCAGUAAUAC
rnacentral:rRNA from 1 species